GACGAACGCUGGCGGCGUGCCUAAUACAUGCAAGUUGAGCGCUGAAGGUUGGUACUUGUACCGACUGGAUGAGCAGCGAACGGGUGAGUAACGCGUGGGGAAUCUGCCUUUGAGCGGGGGACAACAUUUUGAAACGAAUGCUAAUACCGCAUAAAAACUUUAAACACAAGUUUUAAGUUUGAAAGAUGCAAUUGCAUCACUCAAAGAUGAUCCCGCGUUGUAUUAGCUAGUUGGUGAGGUAAAGGCUCACCAAGGCGAUGAUACAUAGCCGACCUGAGAGGGUGAUCGGCCACAUUGGGACUGAGACACGGCCCAAACUCCUACGGGAGGCAGCAGUAGGGAAUCUUCGGAAAUGGACGAAAGUCUGACCGAGCAACGCCGCGUGAGUGAAGAAGGUUUUCGGAUCGUAAAACUCUGUUGGUAGAGAAGAACGUUGGUGAGAGUGGAAAGCUCAUCAAGUGACGGUAACUACACAGAAAGGGACGGCUAACUACGUG
rnacentral:rRNA from 1 species